rnacentral:rRNA from 1 species
GUGGGGAAUAUUGGACAAUGGGCGCAAGCCUGAUCCAGCCAUGCCGCGUGAGUGAUGAAGGCCUUAGGGUUGUAAAGCUCUUUCAGUGGGGACGAUAAUGACGGUACCCACAGAAGAAGCCCCGGCUAACUUCGUGCCAGCAGCCGCGGUAAUACGAAGGGGGCUAGCGUUGUUCGGAUUUACUGGGCGUAAAGCGCACGUAGGCGGAUCGUUAAGUCGGGGGUGAAAUCCUGGAGCUCAACUCCAGAACUGCCUUCGAUACUGGCGAUCUGGAGUCCGGAAGAGGUGAGUGGAACUCCGAGUGUAGAGGUGAAAUUCGUAGAUAUUCGGAAGAACACCAGUGGCGAAGGCGACUCACUGGCCCAAUACUGACGCUGAGGCGCGAAAGCGUGGGGAGCAAACAGGAUUAGAUACCCGUGUAGUCC